ensembl:misc_RNA Metazoa_SRP Metazoan signal recognition particle RNA
GCCAGGCGUGGUGGCUCAUGCCUGUAAUCCCAGCGCUUUGGGAGGCUGAGGCGGGUGGAUCACCUGAGGUCAGGAGUUUUAGACCAGCCUGGCCAACAUGGUGAAAUCUCGUCUCUA